CUUUAACAAAGACACAUGGACUCUAAGCUGAAUGAAGAGGGAGUGAGGGGCGGUGCUGACAUCGGGAAGACAAUAGAUAGGGUCAGUCAACCUAACUGGAAGCCCUGGUGGCACUGAAGAUCCUUGAAGGGAAGGUCCUAGAAGAAGCAAGAUGGAAUGAUGGGAGGUGGUUGUCAGAGAGGGACAUGCUUGGAAUUGAAACGUGAGUGAAAGUACAGAUGGUAGUAAUGACAAAGUUUACUGGAUGCAUGAUUGGGGGGACAUGGAGGAUACACUCAUUGAAAAAGGGUGGGGAAAAAUCUGUGACAAACACAGAGUGAAUAAUGGGAAAAUACAUAGCAAAAUAGAAUUAUAAAUAAAUAUACUUUUUUCUUGGUGUGUUUUUGUAUUUCCCAAAUAUUCCAUAAUGAACAUACAUUACUAUGUAAUCAGAAAAAAGUUAUCAAAUAAAAUUCCCUUAUUUAUUAGUAAGUCCAUUUCUACUAUUUACCAGUACUCAGCUCAAAAUCUCACAAAGUUAUUUCCAUUCUAGAAUUUCACCAGUAUUUCCCAGGCAUUUUACAGAAUCACUUAAAAUGAGACCUACUGAGACAUGUAAGUUUCACAGCAUAUGUUCUUUCUUCCAAGAAAUACCUGUCUGAAAUAUGUAUGCAGAAGUGGGGAGGACUGGGUAUACAGUGGACAGAACUGGGGGCAAAACUCUUCUUGAACACCUUUAAUUUUCUUAUCUUCAAACCAUACAAAUAUCUUUAUAAAAAUAUUACCUACUCAAAAUUACUUAAAAAGUAAAAAUUAGUACAAUUUAAAAUUUUUAAUUUAAAAAUCUUUUCAUAAAAAUUCAGAUUUGCAAAAGUUAUGUUAGGAAAUAAACAGUUGUUUGCAUUGCCAAAUAAGUAAAUCUUUAAACACAGAAUUUCCUCUAGUGCUUUUUAAAAGGGAUUUCAUUUUUUUUCUAAUGUAUUAAGAGUUCCAUUUUUUUUUGGCCAGGCACGGUGGCUCACGCUUGUAAUCCCAGCACUUUGGAAGGCCAAGGCGGGCGGAUCACGAGGUCAGGAGAUUGAGACCAUCCUGGCUAACAUGGUGAAACCCUGUCUCUACUAAAAAUAUAAAAAAUUAGCUGGGCGUGGUAGCGGGCGCCCAUAGUCCCAGCUACUCGGGAGGCUGAGGCAGGAGAAUGGCAUGAACCUGGGAGGCAGAGCUUGCAGUGAGCCAAGAUCGAGCCACUGCACUCCAGCCUGGGCAACAUAGCAAGACUCCGUCUCAAAAAAAAAAAAAAAGAAAAGAGUUCCAUUUUUAAAAAACACCUGCCUGUAGCCCCAGCUGCCACUCAGGAGGUUCAGGUGGGAGGAUCAGUUGAGCACAGGAGGCAGAGGCUGCAGUUAGCCAAGAUGAUAUCACUGUACUCCAGCCUGGGUGACACAGUGAGACUCUGUCUCAAACAAAACAAAACUAAACUAAAUUUAAAAAUUUGGUUCCUAUUCAAAAUUCAAAGAUACAAAUGUGUUGUUACAUUCUUAUCACAUCCUUAAGAGCAAACUGCAGACUUCCAACAAAACUGAAACCCUAACAGAAAAAAGUUAAAAGAUUUGUCACAUACAACGCAAAUCUCACCAGAGGACAGUUACAGUUGUUUGGUAUGGCUCCGGAGUUUAGAAUGAAAAUGAGUGGUUUUAAAUAGUUUCUAAGAAGGCAGAAACAGAGAACAGAGAAGAGAACACUUAAAGCUGUCCAAAAGUGAAACCAGGUGGCUUGGAGGGACAGGGCAGCAAAUCCAGAGAUACAAAGAAUUGCAAAUCCUCCAGAAAUGGCUUCGAGGCUUCAGUAAGUCACUUAGCACUUUGAGGGCUGGACUGCAGGGUCAUUGGGGUCCUUUCAAGCUCCCAAAUCCAUCCCCCACUUGUGGUGAGUUCCCUCUGCUAGAAGGGUUCAGCAGAGGUGAGGGACGGUGGAGGAGGAGUCUGUUACAGAAUGAGAGGUUGGAGUGAAGCAAGCUUCAAACAGAUUAACCACUGGCACCUGAAGACCUCCAGCUACAGACGCCCAUCCACACUACAUUAAAAGGUCCAAGAUAAAGUUCAUCCCUUUCUGUAGGCAGGCCCCAGAACAUGAGCUGUCAUUGUGUGGCAGUACUCAAAUAUGAAGCAGUCGCCCCAAAGAGCCAGGACACACCUCUGUGAAGUUUUAAAGAUUAUCACCAAAAAGAAUUAAAGCACUUAAAAAUGAAGGUGGAGAGCUCAGAGUCUCUGAGAACAAAUUUACAAACACCUAAGGGCCCAAGAAUUCCAGGUUGAGAACAAAUUGACCAGAUCACUCAGAAAGCAUCAGAUCUGGAAGGUUCUGUGAAUCAUGUAUGGCACAAAAAUUACCUGUAUGAGGUAAACUUCUAGUUUAGUUUACCUCCGUGGAGAUUUGAUCAUUAUUGAUUAAGGGUUGCUAUUUGGCAACCUUAACCAUUGUGUUAUACCAGUCACUGGGUCGGUACCACAGCGUACCAGAUGCUUAUAUGUUUUACACCGCCUGGGCAUAGGUGGAAUAGAAUGCCUUGCUAAGGGUAAGCCCCAUGAUAUCCAACCUGCCCAACACCAUUGUGAAUCCCUGAAGCAGAGGCCAGUAGGUGCUAUGACUCUAAUAAAAAUAAACACCAGUAGUUAAAUAACUGUCACAUUUGUAAUAACAAUUUAUCAAAUGUCUUCAUGUCUUUAAUUUUGUUUGGCAGUAUCCAAACUUUUAUGAAAGAAAGAAUGAAUGAGGCCAGACACAAUGGUUCAUUCCAUUGGGAGGCCAAAGUGGGCAGAUCACUUGAGGUCAGGAGUUCGAGACCAGCCUGGCCAAAAUGGCAAAACCCUGUUUCUACUAGAAAUAUGAAAAUUAGCCAGGCAUGGUGGUGCACACCUGUAAUCCCAGCUACUCAGGAGGCGGAGGCAGGAGAAUCGCUUGAACCCAGGAGACGAAGGUUGCAGUAAGCCAAGAUCACACCACUACACUCUAGCCUGGGUGAGAGAGCGAGACUUUGUCAAAAAAAAAAAAAAAAGAAUGAAUAAAAGAGAGGAAGGGGAAAGAGAGAAACAUUUAAUUACAGCUCUUGUAGGUGAGUACAACUAGGCAAAAUAUACAUGAACCUCACUCAAUCUACCUAUUCCCCUCAUAAACAUCUUGGCAUACAAUGACUAUCACCACUGUCAAAUAGCUGUGAUCAAAUCACCUGUUAUUCCUGAACUCAAAAUUCACGCAGACAUGCACACACAAAUACAGACAAGCAUAAUGUUUCACGAAAUCUUGGAGGGCACACUCUACCAACUGUGUACCCCUCCUACGGAGGAGGAAUGAGCCAAGGAUGACUAUGUUCUGAUGUCUGGGUAGAUCCACGACUCACAGCUGUAAACGUCCAGGGACCUCCGAAGUGCUUGCUGAAGGCCCCUAAAAACAACGUUUCCUGAUUCUAGAAUUUAACCUUGCACAAGCACUAAGUUCUAGCAAAACAGAAAUAUGAAAUACACCAGAGGCCCAAAACUUAAACAUCAAACCCCAAAUGCUCCUGAUGAAGGAGGUUUCACUCGCGUCCUUGUGAAGAGACAACCAAACAGGCUUUGUGUGAGCAAUAAAGCUUUUUAAUCACCUGGGUGCAGGUGGGCUGAGUCCGAAAAGAAAGUCAG
rnacentral:lncRNA from 1 species